rnacentral:rRNA from 1 species
UUGCUUCUCUUGAGAGCGGCGGACGGGUGAGUAAUGCCUAGGAAUCUGCCUGGUAGUGGGGGAUAACGUUCGGAAACGGACGCUAAUACCGCAUACGUCCUACGGGAGAAAGCAGGGGACCUUCGGGCCUUGCGCUAUCAGAUGAGCCUAGGUCGGAUUAGCUAGUUGGUGAGGUAAUGGCUCACCAAGGCGACGAUCCGUAACUGGUCUGAGAGGAUGAUCAGUCACACUGGAACUGAGACACGGUCCAGACUCCUACGGGAGGCAGCAGUGGGGAAUAUUGGACAAUGGGCGAAAGCCUGAUCCAGCCAUGCCGCGUGUGUGAAGAAGGUCUUCGGAUUGUAAAGCACUUUAAGUUGGGAGGAAGGGCAGUUACCUAAUACGUGAUUGUUUUGACGUUACCGACAGAAUAAGCACCGGCUAACUCUGUGCCAGCAGCCGCGGUAAUACAGAGGGUGCAAGCGUUAAUCGGAAUUA